GGUUUGUCGCGUUGUUCGUGAAAUCUCACGGCUUAACUGUGAGCGUGCGGGCGAUACGGGCAGACUUGAGUACUGCAGGGGAGACUGGAAUUCCUGGUGUAGCGGUGGAAUGCGCAGAUAUCAGGAGGAACACCGGUGGCGAAGGCGGGUCUCUGGGCAGUAACUGACGCUGAGGAGCGAAAGCGUGGGGAGCGAACAGGAUUAGAUACCCUGGUAGUCCACGCCGUAAACGGUGGGUACUAGGUGUGGGUUUCCUUCCUUGGGAUCCGUGCCGUAGCUAACGCAUUAAGUACCCCGCCUGGGGAGUACGGCCGCAAGGCUAAAACUCAAAGAAAUUGACGGGGGCCCGCACAAGCGGCGGAGCAUGUGGAUUAAUUCGAUGCAACGCGAAGAACCUUACCUGGGUUUGACAUGCACAGGACGCCGGCAGAGAUGUCGGUUCCCUUGUGGCCUGUGUGCAGGUGGUGCAUGGCUGUCGUCAGCUCGUGUCGUGAGAUGUUGGGUUAAGUCCCGCAACGAGCGCAACCCUUGUCUCAUGUUGCCAGCGGGUAAUGCCGGGGACUCGUGAGAGACUGCCGGGGUCAACUCGGAGGAAGGUGGGGAUGACGUCAAGUCAUCAUGCCCCUUAUGUCCAGGGCUUCACACAUGCUACAAUGGCCGGUACAAAGGGCUGCGAUGCCGCGAGGUUAAGCGAAUCCUUUUAAAGCCGGUCUCAGUUCGGAUCGGGGUCUGCAACUCGACCCCGUGAAGUCGGAGUCGC
rnacentral:rRNA from 1 species